UACAGAGACUGCGAGCGUUAUUCGGAUUCACUGGGCGUAAAGGGUGCGCAGGCGGCCGAGUGUGUGAGGCGUGAAAGCCCGGGGCUUAACCCCGGAAUUGCACCUCAAACUACACGGCUAGAGCAUUGGAGAGGGUAGCAGAAUUCACGGUGUAGCAGUGAAAUGCGUAGAUAUCGUGAGGAAUACCAGAGGCGAAGGCGGCUGCCUGGACAAUUGCUGACGCUCAGGCACGAAAGCGUGGGGAGCAAAAGGG
rnacentral:rRNA from 1 species